UGAGCAAUCUGCCCUUCACAUCGGAAUAACCAUUGGAAACGAUGGCUAAUACCGAAUAUGACUUCGGAUCGCAUGGUCUGAAGUGGAAAGCUCCGGCGGUGAAGGAUGAGCUCGCGGCCUAUCAGCUUGUUGGUGAGGUAAUAGCUCACCAAGGCGAUGACGGGUAGCCGGCCUGAGAGGGUGACCGGCCACACUGGGACUGAGACACGGCCCAGACCUCCG
rnacentral:rRNA from 1 species